rnacentral:lncRNA from 1 species
CCCUCAUAUCUUCUCUUGCUUUUGCAUUAUCUUUUGUUUUACCCUCUAUAUUCAUAAUGGUAUUGAACAAGUUAUCAAAAAAAUUCUUUUCAAUAUGCAUUACAUCAAGGUUGUGUCUAAUAAGCAAGGAACUCCAAUAAGGUGUCUAAUAAGCAAGGAACUCCAAUAAGGUAAAUCCCAGAAUAUGCUGCGUUUCCUCCAUCCACAUGUCUUACUAAUAACAGCAUUAACAACAUCUGAACCUGGAUCUGUCACUCUCAUUAAUC